rnacentral:rRNA from 1 species
ACGAACGCUGGCGGCGUGCUUAACACAUGCAAGUCGAACGGAAAGGCCCUGCUUUUGUGGGGUGCUCGAGUGGCGAACGGGUGAGUAACACGUGAGUAACCUGCCCUUGACUUUGGGAUAACUUCAGGAAACUGGGGCUAAUACCGGAUAGGUGCUCCUGCUGCAUGGUGGGGGUUGGAAAGUUUCGGCGGUUGGGGAUGGACUCGCGGCUUAUCAGCUUGUUGGUGGGGUAGUGGCUUACCAAGGCUUUGACGGGUAGCCGGCCUGGGAGGGUGACCGGCCACAUUGGGACGGGGAUACGGCCCAGACUCCUACGGGAGGCAGCAGUGGGGAAUAUUGCACAAGGGGCGGAGGCCGGAUGCAGCAACGCCGCGUGCGGGAUGACGGCCUUCGGGUUGUAAACCGCUUUCGCCUGGGACGAAGCGUGAGUGACGGUAAUGGGUAAAGAAGCACCGGCUAACUACGU